UACGAAGGGGUUGAGCGUUGCUCGGAAUGAGCUAGGGGCGUAAAGGGCGCGUAGGCGGAUGGUACAGUCAGAUGUGAAAUUCCCGGGCUUAACCUGGGGCUGCAUUUGAUACGUAUUGUCUUGAGUUCGGAAGAGGGUCGUGGAAUUUCCAGUGUAGAGGUGAAAUUCGAUAGAUAUUGGAAAGACCACCAAUGGCGAAGGCACUCUACUGGGCCAUUACUGACACUGAGAAGACGAAAGCUAGGGGAGCAAAUGGG
rnacentral:rRNA from 1 species